rnacentral:lncRNA from 1 species
CCUUGUCCGAAACAUAAGGAAUUGGUCCUGGCAACCUUAUCACCAAAGGCUCAGCAUUCUUCUUCAAAGGUACACUCUUGACAGGCGGAUCGUGAAAAACUGGCACAAUCACGCAAACAUCACUGACAGUCAGAAAAUUAUCAUUCAUCAAGCUUUGGAUGUCAUCUUGAACAGUAUAGCAACCCAAAGGAUUACGAAGGCAUCCUAGACACUUGGCAUGAUCAUGGCUGAACAGAGAAGCUUUGCACAGCUUGAUGUGUAGAGGCACCAGAGGAGUUGCGACGUU